GUCGGCCGACGCCUGCUGCGCGGAGAUGCCGAAUGCGUCCGUUAGGUCGCUUCGGUUGAACCGACCGUCCCAAAAGAGGCGGAAAUCGAUGAACUCCAGACGUCGGCGAACUCCCCAGCGCAGCUGCUCGCCACCGUCUCCCAUAUACCGUCCUCCAAAAAACCAGAUUCUCCCUCGACAAUCGCGUCUAGUUACUUGACGA
rnacentral:misc_RNA from 1 species